UCCAUCAGAUCACCUUCAACACCAACAUGUUCUCUGUAGCUCUGCUGCUGCUUCUGGCUGCUGCAUCCUAUGUGAAGUGUGAACAACUGACACAACCAGCUGCAAUGACUGUGCAGCCGGGUCAACGUCUGACCAUCAGAUGUCAGGUCUCUUAUGAUCUGAGUGCCUGGACAGCUUUUAUCAGACAAGCUGCUGGGAAAGGACUGGAGUGGAUUGGGGAGAAUGAUAGUUAUGGAAAUUUACACUUAAAAGAUUCGCUGACGAACAAGUUCAGUAUUGACGUAGACACCAGCAGCAAAACAGUGACUCUAAAUGGACAGAAUAUGCAGCCUGAAGACUCUGCUGUGUAUUACUGUGCCAGGCAGGACACAGUGACACAAACAAGCAGCAGAGCUGUACAAAAACCCCUCACACCUGAACUGAUGCUUUAG